rnacentral:misc_RNA from 1 species
UAUAUGGCUAGCGUCUUGGCAAGGUAUCGAAAGAUCUUGAUGGAAAGAACCAGGCAUCAUUUUGGUAGUUGAUAUGUUUCUUUCGUUUAAUUGGUCUAAAUGAAAUUGAAAUGGUCUGUUUCUUUGGUUUUUGGUGAUUUUGGUUUCUUUUUAUCUGUGUUUGAUACGAUUGAGGUUACGAAUGAAGUUUCUCGCAGUUCAUGUUAAUGUUCGAAUCGAAGUUAUCUCUGGUGGUGUUGUUCGUCG